GAUGAAGAACGGAGCGAAAUGCGAUAAGUAAUGUGAAUUGCAGAAUUCAGUGAAUCAUCGAAUCUUUGAACGCACAUUGCGCCCGCCAGCAUUCUGGCGGGCAUGCCUGUUCGAGCGUCAUUUCAACCCUCGAGCCCCCCCGGGGGCCUCGGUGUUGGGGGACGGCACACCAGCCGCCCCCGAAAUGCAGUGGCGACCCCGCCGCAGCCUCCCCUGCGUAGUAGCACACACCUCGCACCGGAGCGCGGAGGCGGUCACGCCGUAAAACGCCCAACUUUCUUAGAGUUGACCUCGGAUCAGGUAGGAAUACCCGCUGAACUUAAGCAUAUCAAUAAGCGGAGGA
rnacentral:misc_RNA from 1 species